UACGUAGGGUGCGAGCGUUUAAUCGGAAUUACUGGGCGUAAAGUGUGCGCAGGCGGCCGCGCAAGUCGAGUGUGAAAGCCCCGAGCUUAACUUGGGAAUUGCGCUCGAAACUACGGUGGCUGGAGUGUGGCAGAGGAAGGUGGAAUUCCACGUGUAGCGGUGAAAUGCGUAGAGAUGUGGAGGAACACCGAUGGCGAAGGCAGCCUUCUGGGCCAACACGUG
rnacentral:rRNA from 1 species